UACGUAGGGGGCAAGCGUUGUCCGGAAUUAUUGGGCGUAAAGAGCGUGUAGGCGGUCCGGUAAGUCGGCUGUGAAAGUCCAGGGCUCAACCCUGGGAUGCCGGUCGAUACUGUCGGGCUAGAGUCCGGAAGAGGCGAGUGGGAAUUCCUGGUGUAGCGGUGGAAUGCGCAGAGUAUCAGGAGGAACACCGAGUGGCGAAGGCAGCUCGCUGGGACGGUACUGACGCUGAGGCGACGAAAGCGUGGGGAGCGAACAGG
rnacentral:rRNA from 1 species